rnacentral:rRNA from 1 species
UACGAAGGGGGCUAGCGUUGCUCGGAAUCACUGGGCGUAAAGCGCACGUAGGCGGAUUGCUAAGUCAGGGGUGAAAUCCUGGAGCUCAACUCCAGAACUGCCUUUGAUACUGGCGAUCUUGAGUCCGGGAGAGGUGAGUGGAACUGCGAGUGUAGAGGUGAAAUUCGUAGAUAUUCGCAAGAACACCGGUGGCGAAGGCGGUCUUCUGGACGGUGACUGACGCUGAGGCGCGAAAGCGUGGGGAGCAAACGGG